rnacentral:lncRNA from 1 species
AUGAAUAAACUGAAUACCUCUUUACCUAAGCUAUUAAAUAUGCUGAAGACAGCUGAGAGUCAUAUCAAGAAGGAAUAGGCUCCAUUUCUUCUUGUAGAUGGGAUCUCCAAAAAGAAAGCAGGCAUGAAGGGUUCCAAGAAAAGGUUGAACCCUAAGAGUAGCAUGAUGAAGAGGAAAAAGGAAAAGAAAGUCUUUGGAUCAAGUACCUAUUUCUAUUGC